UACGUAGGGGGCAAGCGUUGUCCGGAUUUAUUGGGCGUAAAGAGCGUGUAGGCGGCUUCACAGGUCUGCUGUGAAAACUCGAGGCUCAACCUCGAGCUGUCGGUGGAAACCGUGGGGCUAGAGUCCGGAAGAGGAGAGUGGAAUUCCCGGUGUAGCGGUGAAAUGCGCAGAUAUCGGGAAGAACACCCGUGGCGAAGGCGGCUCUCUGGGACGGUACUGACGCUGAGGAGCGAAAGCGUGGGGAGCGAACAGG
rnacentral:rRNA from 1 species